GGGUCGGUGGCGAAAUGGUAUACGCGUACGCUUUAGGAGCGUAUGGGAUUAAACCCGUGGAGGUUCGACUCCUCUCCGACCCA
rnacentral:tRNA from 1 species